UGGGUGCAUUGGUCCUUGUAAGGGUCCGAUGUAUCGUCGACCGUCGAAGGAGUGUCAACUCCCAUCCAUAUGGGUGCAUCGGUCCUUGUAAGGGUCCGAUGUAUCGUCGAUAAGGUCGUCGGUUCCAGUUGGACACUAAGUCCAUGUUGGUAUGUCGGGGCUUGACCUUGAUGAGCGCCGAUCAUUAGUCGAAGAGUUAAAACUCCGAGAUUUCAAACCGAAUU
rnacentral:lncRNA from 1 species